rnacentral:rRNA from 1 species
CUACGGAGGGUCCAAGCGUUAUCCGGAUUCAUUGGGUUUAAAGGGUCCGCAGGCGGGAAAAUAAGUCAGUGGUGAAAGCCUACAGCUCAACUGUAGAAUUGCCAUUGAUACUGUUUUUCUUGAGUAUAGAUGAAGUGGGCGGAAUAUAUCAUGUAGCGGUGAAAUGCAUAGAUAUGGUAUAGAACACCGAUUGCGAAGGCAGCUCACUAAACUAUUACUGACGCUCAGGGACGAAAGCGUGGGGAGCGAACAGGAUUAGAAACCCUAGUAGUCC